rnacentral:lncRNA from 1 species
GGAGAAGUUCUUGAGGGCUAUUAUGUAAUUAAGACACAACUAAGGAAAAAAUUAGAAUGACAAUAAGACCUUGCAAUAUCAUAUGGUCUAGAAUAUUGGGUAAUAAAGAGGCUCCAGAAAACAAGUUAAAUGUAGCAAAUAUGAGGACAUACGCAAGUGAGAGAAUUUACAAAAACAGAGGAAUGAGUAUCCUCAAAGAGUUGUAUGAGUUAUCCAAAUAGGAAAUUAAGUGAUGGAGAAUUGGUUAUGAUGGUAUGGGCAAGUGUAAGAUAAGCUGAGGGGCUCUGUUAUUUGUCAAAAGAUAUAAUAAAUAGAAGGGAAGACCUGAGGUAACACAAAGUUGUGAGAGGGGAUAUAGAAAAGCUUGAUAAGAGGUAGCCAUAAGUAGGAAUGCUGGGUGAACAAGGAUUCUAAAAGCUGAACCCAUAAGUAAAAAUUCUGGGUGAACAAUGAUCCUAAAAGCUGAACCCAAAACAUCAGGACAUAGGUUAGUCAUGGUUGCGAGCAUUCCAGGUGAGUGCUGCUGCAGGUAAAACAUUUUCAACAUAUGGUACUUCAAAUUAUAGAUAGAUUCAUCGGGCAUCUCAAAUGGGGAAAAGAAUGAUGAUUUGUAGACAAACAUUUUCAAGGAGAUACAGAAGUGAUGUAUGGACCCCAAUAUGACUUGUCAAGAAAUGCAAGAAGGCUAAGUCUUUGGUAGAGAGGGAGAGUAGGAAUAGGAAUAGUAUUAUAUAUGAGAGGAACUAUUCGGGCAUGUGUUUAUUCCCACAUGUGGGUGUCCAUUGGGUAAGUCUUCGGUACUUAAGUAGGGCCAAGGACCCAAACCAAUAAACUUCUAGCUAGCCUUUUUGGAUGAGGUUGUGGGCUGUCAUAAAUGCUUUCAGAACUAACCCAGGCCACAGUGCUUUUGAACUAAUCAUAAACCAGUUGGGUUGUUUAUAAUUGGACCCUUCCCUUGAUGAGCCUGCUUUAGAUUAAAUGGGGAGAGUGUGGACCAAUGCAUGCAUUUAGUCCCACAUUUAGCGUGCGUUGGGUAGUCAAGCAAGGCUAAUGACUCCAGUUAACAACUUCAAUCAGGCCUUUUUAGGUGAGCUCCUGGGUCAUUACAGCAUAUUAGUUAAGAGUUCUUCAAUUGGUCUUAAUUUCCUAAUAAAGUUGGUAGGUUCAACCUUUACCAUGAAGCCCAGUGUCUGCUAAGAGAAUUAGGUGGUUAGAUUCAGCAAAAGUAGGAAAGCAGAAAAUUGCGGGGUUUUAUUAAAGUGUAAGGUAAGAACAAAUCAUUAUCAUAUAUCCUUUUAUUCCCCUUCAGAGUCUGUGGUUUUUACUUUGUCAGGGAGUCUUUACCGUGCAGUGAUGUUACAUGGCAGUACACUUGAUCUCAAGUUCAUCUCUUUCUUUCAAGUGCAAGCAUGUCCAAAAUGUCAAGUACUACAAGUCUACAACCAUUAGGGGGCAAAUAAGGAAAACUUUUGCUUAAAGGAGUUAUUACAGGUUUAUAAGAUGAAGUUCAUGCAUAAAUGACUUCCAUGGCAAUGAACAUAACAAAUGUGAAUGACUAAAAUAUCAAAAAAUGACUAAUGAUAUUCCAAUAAAAUUACAAAUCACUAUGGCCACAAGUACCAAUAAAAAAUGAUUAAAAAAAAUAUUUAAGAAUAAGUAGAUCCAGAUUUCUCAUACAAAUAAUACGCAUACUCAUAAUGAAAUUUAACAAAAACUGUUGUUUAUAGUUUAAAGAAUAAAAAACAUUUUUCUCCUUAUUUUGCUAAAAUAUUUGUUCCUAAAAUUUGUAAGCUUUAUUUAUAAAUUGCUUGCAUGCACACUAACAUCUAACAAAUUCACUUUUAGGGAAUUUUAAUUAAUAGGAUAACAAUCAAACCCAUUUUUCAUAAUUUUAUAUAAUUAAUUUUGAAAUGUAUGGAAGGAAAGCAAAUUAAGUAAAUCACUAAAAUCAAGUUUCUCUUAAAUAUCUCGAAAUUGAAUACUAAGGUUUCUUUGCCUUUCAAAACAUUAAAAAAAAUCCAGAUUUGAUCUUGCUAGUUCAGUCUAUCACCUGUAAGCAAUAUCUUACUGCAAAUGUAAGAUAAUUAAAGCAAACACCCUUAAAUGAGACUCAAGGCUUUCUAUGUGUUGAAGUCAUCAAAAAACACUGAAACUAGUCAAUUCCAAAAUAUAUUAACUGAAGCCAAUAAAACCUCAAAACUUUAGACCUAUUCCAACUGAAAUAGCCCCCGCCAAAACCCAAAACAUACACCAAACAACUCCAGCCUCUCUUAGCUUCAAAUGGUCCUAGACAAAUCCUAUCUCACCUAUGCAACAACAAAAAUGUCAAGAAACACUGUCUUUAAGGGAAUCAUCAAUGCAAAGAGUGCCUUCAGCUUAAUUCAUCUUAUAAGGAGUAUUAUUUAUCAGAAUGACAUUGCACUACAGUCUGUGCACCUAUAUUUUCUCUGUGAAGUUGUGAACCAGAGAAAUUUAGGUACAGCAUUGUUGAAGGCAGCUACUACAAAAAAUAUUAUAAACUAUUGGUUACGGAUGCAUGACACAACUAGGGAGAAGUAGAAGCCCUACCAGGUUAGUGUAACAAGCUAUAACUAAGAAGAACUUCCACCAGAUUUGCACCUCUAACCACCUUUAAUAGUGAAAGACUAGCUUAGAAUAGACUUAAACUUUCCCAAGUAUUAAGCUCAAAUCCUGUUCAUCUUUUUGAUGUGAUAGGUUGAUCACACCUUCAAAAUCUGCAUGGCUUCUUCAUAGAUAUAAGAAGCAGCAUGACUUCGAACAAAGACUGUACCAGAUGAUACUUGGACUACUCUGUUAAUUUAUAAUACAAACUGGAUUUCAAAAAAAAUCAACAUAUUAUGGAUUUUGUAAAAAUUCAGCCUAGUCAAUAUAAGCAUACAAGAUUCUGAAGUUUCCCAAGCAACAUGCAUACCUUGAACAAUGGUCCACUCGCCAUUGCGACAUGUCACAGGAAAUGAAUAAAUAAGCCCAGCUGGUACAUUGUAUGAACCAUCAGAAUACACUCCCAUGGAAACCCAUGUUCCCUGAGACAGCGGAAGGAAAAUAUUUAGCGAACUUCACAACAAACAAGCCAACUGAAUCAGAUAAAAGACAGCUGAACAAUGGUCCACUCGCCAUUGCGACAUGUCACAGGAAAUGAAUAAAUAAGCCCAGCCGGUACAUUGUAUGAACCAUCAGAAUACACUCCCAUGGAAACCCAUGUUC